rnacentral:lncRNA from 1 species
GAGAGAGAGAGGGAGAAAGAGAGAGAGAGAGAGAGCGAGCAAGAGCGAGCAAGCUGGGUAGGGGCAGAGAGAAAGCCGAAGUUGGACGCUUAACUGAUUGGGCCACCCAGGUGUCCUUGUUUCUUUCUUUUAAAUGGUGUUUUCAUGGGGCACCUGGGUGGCUCAGUUAGUUAAGCAUUCCACUUCAGCUAGGGUCAUGAUCUGAUGGUUCAUGGGGUCAAGCCCUGUGUCGGGCUCUGUGCUGACAGCUCGGAGCCCGGAACCUGCUUUGGAUUCUGUGUGUCUCUCUCUUUUUCUACCACUCUCUCAAAAAUAAAUAAACAUUAAAUUUUUUUUUAAAUGGUGUUUUCACUCUUACCCAAAUGGGUAAAGUAGGGUGACAUUCCACUUUGUAAUGACAGGUUAAAUUCAGAUGAUACCUUUUGUUUUAGAAAAUAUCAGUCUUUAAAAUGGCAAUACACAAUUCCUUUUGGUGUAUACCAGGCUCCUUCAUCUGGAUUAUUAUAUGGAAUCAUCUCCAACUGUCACAGACCAUAGGCAGCAAAACCAGAGAUGUCUCAUGCAGAAGACAGAGAUUAUUGAGUCUGGAAGCUCUGUGACUCCAUGGAAGCAGUGAAUGAAUAAAUAAAUACAUGGCAAACUGUUUGGGAAAGGUUGCUAACCUCUGGUCCACGAAAUCUUGAGCAACAAGAGACCUGAGUUGAAAUGUCAAUUUGUGUCUGACUCACUAUUUGAAGAGAAUGAAUCACUCUUUUGAUUGAAUCACUUGGUUCCGUGGUCUGAGGUGUGGUACUGAAGACAGCACGGACCUGCUUCACACACUUUGUGUACCUGACUGCUGCACUUGACAAGUCUUUGUACUCAUCAAAAUAGAAACACAUUUAUUAAGUACCUAAUUAUGCACAUGAUUUGGAAACAUGCAGAAUAUGUAGGCUAAAGAUUAAAAUAAAUUAGUGCUUGUUAUGGUUUCAUGGAUCAGGUGAGAUGUCUAUUAUUAUAAAAAAGGGAGGAGGCAUGCUGUGUAUUAAUUAUCAGGUUACUGAAGCUCUGGGUAAAUGUGGCAGGAAUGUUAAGGGUAGCUUCUCAGGAAGUAUUUGCUGUCUGGUUGAAAAC